rnacentral:lncRNA from 1 species
CAGGCAACUCACAGAACUGCCAAAUCCUGUUAGUGAUAAGAAAAAGCAUUCAGUGAUGAAAGAAUAGUUAGCAGUUCCACUCAGCUCGCUCUAGCUCAGCUCCACGCUACUCUCUGCAGCAGCUUCACAUUGGCUCCAUGGCCGUCGACAAGCCUUCCGGUUCCCCCAAGCAACUGCAGUGAGGCUUUGAAAUAAAGGGGAAAACAGAGAGACAACAUCCAGUGCUGGUGGCAGACAGCAACUUUACCUCUUCGUUCUUCACAAAGACUGAAGCCACUUUUCAGGACCCCGAAGAGCUAGGAUUAGAAUUACAGGUGUCUGCUCUUUCCCCAAUCUGUGGCAUGCUGGGGGGCAAAACAGCACCUCGUGCUGCCAGAGAAGCAGCCAGCCUAGUGCUGAGCUUCGUCCUCAGCUCCUACACAAGGUCUUCAAAGGCCACCGCAGAACAGAACAGAGGGCAGCAGAGACGGGCCUGGAAGAGAGCCCUGAAAGAAAGUCCCCACCAGAGGGGGCUUUUGCCUAUGUGUGUGCCUGUGCUCUUCCUGGAUGCCUGGUAUCUGAGGAGUCUAGAAGAGUGCAUCAGUUUCCCUGGAACUGAAGCUACAGACGGUUGUGAACCUCCAUACAGGAAUUUACAAAUGUCACAUUUGAUGGGAAGAUACUGUGUCAUUCCAAGGGGAAAUCAGGUCUGGAAAGGGCCUUCUGGUUGGAGAACCUCAUGUGUCCUGAAACAGCUCCAAAGCAGGCCAAAUCAAACAAAACAAAGGAGAACCACCCUAUGAAGUAAGCCUGCUUUGAACUCAUCUGUAUUUCCUUUACUUUCCUGCUUUAUCAGUGAGUGACAAAAAGUCCCCCAAAGCAAGUUUAAGACCUGGAUAAGGCUGCCAGCUGAAGGAUUUUUUAACCAUCCGGGCAAAGGCAUUCAAGCUCAUUCAUGAGCACUGUAACACAUGUAUGAAUUGUAUAUUUAUGUAACUGAUGAACACAGAGCAGUCUUCCUGGAGUCAAAACAUCUGCCAAGAGUCAAACAUGAGUCAACACCAAGAGGGAGCUUGAGUCAUAGAUUUUAAACAAUUUGAUGAACAGCCCUUCUGGAAGUCUUCAGGUUUUGUUUUGUUUUUUUUUAUUUAUUCUGAGAAUUUCAGAUAUGUGUACAAUGUGUUUCAGUAUCUACCACACAAUCCCCCUUCAAUUCCUCACAACCCCCAACACAUUUCCCUCCCAACUUCACAUCCAUUCUUCAUCUUUUCAUCCCUGAGUCUAGUGCUGCCUGCUGUGUGCACCAGGCUUAUUUUUCAGUUUAAAACCCUUUUUAUUUUAUUCAUUGCAUGAGGUGAAUGUGUACGUACAUGGAGAUCAGAGGACAAUUUGUAGAGUCACUUCUCCAUUUCCACCUUUACAGAGGUUCUGGGGAAGGAACUCAAACAGCCAGGCAAACGGGGCCAAUGCUUUUUACCUGGUGAACCGUCUCUCAUUGACCACCACAAUUCUUCA